rnacentral:rRNA from 1 species
UACGGAGGGUGCAAGCAUUAAUCGGAUUUAUUGGGCGUAAAGGGCGCGUAGGCGGGAAGGUCAGUCAGAUGUGAAAUCCCAAGGCUCAACCUUGGAACUGCAUUUGAUACUGCCUUUCUUGAGGGUAGAAGGAGUAAGUGGAAUUCCACAAGUAGCGGUGAAAUGCGUAGAUAUGUGGAAGAACACCAGUGGCGAAGGCGACUUUCUAUUUUAUUCCUGACGCUGAGGCGCGAAAGCUAGGGGAGCAAACAGG